UACAGAGGUCUCAAGCGUUGUUCGGAUUCAUUGGGCGUAAAGGGCGCGUAGGCUGCGGGGCAAGUCGGGUGUGAAAUCUCAGAGCUCAACUCUGAAACUGCACUCGAUACUGCUUUGCUCGAGGACUGGAGAGGAGACUGGAAUUUACGGUGUAGCGGUGAAAUGCGUAGAUAUCGUAAGGAAGACCAGUGGCGAAGGCGGGUCUCUGGACAGUUCCUGACGCUGAGGCACGAAGGUCAGGGGAGCAAACGGG
rnacentral:rRNA from 1 species